rnacentral:lncRNA from 1 species
CAUUUACGUGUUUAUGAUUGGAACAGAUUUAAAGAAAACACGUUGGCGAUUGAAAAUUGCGUUUAGGGCGGUAAGCGUUUGUGUGAGGUUAACAUCGAGCGUGGAGAGCAGAGAAUCUUCCAGGAAAAACGGUUGGGGACUUGGGAUACAGCUGUAUAUUAACACGUGUCAAGUAAGUAUAUGUACUUUGAGUUUGAGAUUUGUUUCUUUUUUUUUUCAAGAAUAAUAGUAAUAUUAUUAUUGUUUUCUUUUUAUUUUUCAGAGAUUUGUUUUCUUUUGUAGAGAGAGUACGCUCGUACACAGGAGCGUUUCUUCCACUCUCUUUUUUACAGGUGGAGCGUUUUUGCCCAAUCAUUUCGUUUUCCAUCUAAAAGCAAAUCAAUGACAUUCACAAAAAUAUCGUUAACUUCUACGUUUUUUUUUUUCUAUUAAUAACCUUUUUUAAAUCAUUCUCUUUUUGAAUAUUUGUUAACUUUUUAGUAUUUAAAUUUAUUUUGUAAAAAUUUGAAACAAUUUUAGAAGAAAAUGAAUUCAAAAAUGGCAUUGUAUUUUAAAUGAUGAAUUUUUUAGUAUGUAUAUUAAAUUUGGUAAAAAGCUUAUAAAAAUUAAGAACAUGCUGGAAAUAUACAUAUUGUUUUAAAACUAGUAAGUGCAACAAAAAGACUACAUAGAAGUCAAUAGAAAAUAGCCGAAAGUUUUUGUGUUAUGAACUAAAGUCUUUUGAUCUUUGACAAAAAAAAAAAAAAGAACUAAAGUCUUUUGAUAUGUUAUUUUCAAUAUUUUGACACUGUUUGUUACAUGUCACUGUCUCUUGUGUUUUGAUUGAUAUGUGUGGUUUAUUAUAUAAACGAACGAUGGUCCAAUAUACAAAUUUUGCUUAAGAUGUAAAUUGUGUCGGUGAAAAUAAUGAAGACAUUGUAGUCGUUGACAGCAAGUUCUAGGCUUCUAGCUACUACAUGUAACAAGUGAAUGUAAUAGUUUUUUUAACUAUUGAAACAAAUACAAACUUAGAAAAGAUAUCAUUAGAUUAAAUAUGAACGUUGCAAGUAAUCAGUAUUUGAUAAGUUAUAAAUUGUUUUUUUUUUUUAUAAGUUAUAAAUUGUCUUAUAGAAGAACAAGUAAAUGGAAUAUACUAGUUUUGUUGUCAUGGUGAAUUACUAAACCGGUACAACUUAGUUAACCAGAAAUCCAAGGGUAAAAGCGCGUGUGGGAUGAUAUUAUUAUACACAGAGAAGCAACCUCUUCAGGAUGUGUAACUUGUAUUUUUUCUUUUUUUUACACAAAGUAAUUGGCAGAAAGAAAGAACCAAACCUAACAAACUGAAAUACAGCAAAUCUCUAGAUAUUCAUAAAUAUCUAAACCAAGCCCACUUCAUG